AAACUCAAAUGAAUUGACGGGGGCCCGCACAAGCGGUGGAGCAUGUGGUUUAAUUCGAUGCAACGCGAAGAACCUUACCUACUCUUGACAUCCAGCGAAUCCUUUAGAGAUAGAGGAGUGCCUUCGGGAACGCUGAGACAGGUGCUGCAUGGCUGUCGUCAGCUCGUGUUGUGAAAUGUUGGGUUAAGUCCCGCAACGAGCGCAACCCUUAUCCUUUGUUGCCAGCACGUAAUGGUGGGAACUCAAAGGAGACUGCCGGUGAUAAACCGGAGGAAGGUGGGGAUGACGUCAAGUCAUCAUGGCCCUUACGAGUAGGGCUACACACGUGCUACAAUGGCAGAUACAAAGAGAAGCGACCUCGCGAGAGCAAGCGGAACUCAUAAAGUCUGUCGUAGUCCGGAUUGGAGUCUGCAACUCGACUCCAUGAAGUCGGAAUCGCUAGUAAUCGUAGAUCAGAAUGCUACGGUGAAUACGUUCCCGGGCCUUGUACACACCGCCCGU
rnacentral:rRNA from 1 species